UACGUAGGGUGCAAGCGUUAAUCGGAAUUACUGGGCGUAAAGCGUGCGCAGGCGGUUGUGCAAGACCGAUGUGAAAUCCCCGGGCUUAACCUGGGAAUGGCAUUGGUGACUGCACGGCUAGAGUGUGUCAGAGGGGGGUAGAAUUCCACGUGUAGCAGUGAAAUGCGUAGAGAUGUGGAGGAAUACCGAUGGCGAAGGCAGCCCCCUGGGAUAACACUGACGCUCAUGCACGAAAGCGUGGGGAGC
rnacentral:rRNA from 1 species